rnacentral:lncRNA from 1 species
AUGGAGGUUCAUGACAUUGUACAGGAGACAGGGAUCAAGACCAUCCCCAUGGAAAAGAAAUGCAAAAAAGCAAAACUGCUGUCUGGGGAGGCCUUACAAAUAGCUGUGAAGAGAAGAGAAGCGAAAAGCAAAGGAGAAAAGGAAAGAUAUAAGCAUCUGAAUGCAGAGUUCCAAAGAAUAGCAAGAAGAGAUAAGAAAGCCCUCCUCAGUGAUCAAUGCAAAGAAAUAGAGGAAAACAACAGAAUGGGAAAGACUAGAGAUCUCUUCAAGAAAAUUAGAGAUACCAAGGGAACAUUUCAUGCAAACAUGGGCUCGAUAAAGGACGGAAAUGGUCUGGACCUAACAGAAGCAGAAGAUAUUAAGAAGAGGUGGCAAGAAUACGCAGAAGAACAGUACAAAAAAGAUCUUCACGACCCAGAAAAUCACGAUGGUGUGAUCACUCACCUAGAGCCAGACAUCCUGGAAUGUGAAGUCAAGUGGGCCUUAGAAAGCAUCACUACAAACAAAGCUAGUGGAGGUGAUGGAAUUCCAGUUGAGCUAUUUCAAAUCCUGAAAGAUGAUGGCGUGAAAGUGCUGCACUCAAUACGCCAGCAAAUUUGGAAAACUCAGCAGUGGCCACAGGAAAGGAAAAGGGCAGUUUUCAUUCCAAUCCCAAAGAAAGACAAUGCCAAAGAAUGCUCAAACUACCGCACAAUUGCACUUAUCUCACGCACUAGUAAAGUAAUGCUCAAAAUUCUCCAAGCCAGGCUUCAGCAAUAUGUGAACCGUGAACUUCCAGAUGUUCAAGCUGGUUUUAGAAAAGGAACCAGAGAUCAAAUUGCCAACAUCCGCUGGAUCAUUGAAAAUGCAAGAGAGUUCCAGAAAAACAUCUAUUUCUGCUUUAUUGACUAUGCCAAAGCCUUUGACUGUGUGGAUCACAAUAAACUGUGGAAAAUUCUCCAAGAGAUGGGGAUACCAGACCACCUGACCUGCCUCUUGAGAAACCUAUAUGCAGGUCAGGAAGCAACAGUUAGAACUGGACAUGGAACAACAGACUGGUUCCAAAUAGGAAAAGGAGUACAUCAAGGCUGUAUAUUGUCACCCUGCUUAUUUAACUUAUAUGCAGAGUACAUCAUGAGAAAUGCUGGACUGGAAGAAGCACAAGCUGGAAUUAAGACUGCUGGGAGAAAUAUCAGUAAUCUCAGAUAUGCAGAUGACACCACCCUUAGGGCAGAAAGUGAAGAGGAACUAAAAAGCCUCUUGAUGAAAGUGAAAGAGGAGAGUGAAAACGUUGGCUUAAAGCUCAACAUUCAGAAAACAAAGAUCAUGGCAUCUGGUCCCAUCACUUCAUGGGAAAUAGAUGGGGAAACAGUGUCAGACUUUAUUUUUUUGGGCUCCAAAAUCACUGCAGAUGCUGAUUGCAGCCAUGAAAUUAAAAGAUGCUUACUCAUUGGAAGGAAAGUUAUGACCAACCUAGAUAGCAUAUUCAAAAGCAGAGACAUUACUUUGCCAACAAAGGUCCGUCUAGUCAAGGCUAUGGUUUUUCCAGUAGUCAUGUAUGGAUGUGAGAGUGGACUGUGA